UUCUCUCUCCUUUUCUACAUUGACUCAGACUCACCAAAGCCCUCAUUUUUUCACAAUGUAUGAUUGUUUCCCUUUCUCCAAUUUUGCAAUCUAUCUCUCUCUCUCUUUCUCUUUCUCCAUUGAGUCAGACUUACCAAAACUUUCUUAUGCAUUUUUUGUUCUUAAUAUGAUUUUUUUUCCUCGACAAAUCGGUGGGUUCUUCGUUCAUAUGUAUGAUUUCUUCUUACAACUUCCUAUAUCUACAUUAUCUCACUCACCGACUCAAACUUCAUUAUCAUCAGAUCUUAUAGCAAGGUAAGACGUAUAAAUAAGGUAACAUAUUUUAUUCAUCUCUCACCAUUUUUAUAACAUAUCACUUUGCAUGUUCAUUUUAUGUCACCUGUUUAUUUAGGCUUUUUUUAAAAUUAAUAUUUUUGGUAGAAACAUUAUUUGAAAAGAUAAAAAUUUGAAUUUUAGGUUUUAGCUUUUCUUUCCUAAAAAAUCUUAUUCUGAAGCCUUAAGCAUUUCAAGUGAUUUGAAGCCUCACGCCCAAUUUUUCAGUUCAUUUUCUAUUCACAUUUGAACUCGCUUGAUCUGAAAGUUUUCAGAUUAAAUUUUCAGAUCUUUAUGGAUUUUCAGUGUCAAAUCUUUCAUAUGAUGAUCAAUAUAUUUUCUGUAAUUUUCAGCUCUCAACUUUUUGAACUAGCUUUUAAGUAUUUAGUUGAACAUAAUAAUCUCCCACAACAAGCAAACACACUUUUCCACAUGUAUGCCAUUUACAGUUACAUUUGCAAAAUUUAUGUGAUUUGUUCCCUUAUCUCGGUUGAUCCUUAAAAGAAAACAUAAAACUUGCAACUUUGUUUUUUGUUUUUGUUUUGAAGGGUUACUUUUUCCGGAAACACUGUAGCAGAUUCCUAAGUUUCAAUAUUGAACUAAUUAAGUAGCAACUAGCCCUAUACUAACAAAGUAACCUUUGAUAUUUAAACACUCAUACACCUAUCAACCUAAGUUAAUGAUGUUUAAAUUAUAGAUUGACAAAUGUAAAUUAAAAUAGUAAUAUGCUCCCAACAUAUCAAUAAUAGGAUUUGAUAUGGUUAGCCAAUAAUUUACACAUAAUAUAUAAGAAGUAUAGAAUAUCAAGGGUAAAAGAAAACAUUAUCCAAUAUAAAUUUCCUAUAUUUGAUUGUUGAUCUAUAUUUUUAAGUUAUAAGAGAUAGAAAUGAAGCACAAAAGUAAAGACAUAGGGAAGCUUUCAAGAGUCAUAGUUCCAUCGAGUAAGUUUUAUGCUAUUCCUAAUUUCAUCCUUCUGCUAUUGGUUUUUAUGAUAUUAUGUUUUUUUUUUAUGGUUUGAGAUAUUGAUUCUUUUGAUAACAAUACAAGUAGGUGAUAAAAGAAAGAAGCCAGAGGAAGAAAAAUGCAUUAUCAUGCGCUCUGUUGGAUGAAGCUUUUUUUAUAGUUUAAGAUAACAUUUUUUGUAUGAGUUCAAGAUAAUAUUUUUGUAGGAGUUCAACAUAACAUUUUUACUGCAACAUAUCGGAGCUACCAUCACGAGCACCUCACUGAGCCAUCACAAC
rnacentral:lncRNA from 1 species